rnacentral:rRNA from 1 species
UUCGGCAAUGGACGAAAGUCUGACCGAGCAACGCCGCGUGAGUGAAGAAGGUUUUCGGAUCGUAAAGCUCUGUUGUAAGUCAAGAACGUGUGUGAGAGUGGAAAGUUCACACAGUGACGGUAGCUUACCAGAAAGGGACGGCUAACUACGUGCCAGCAGCCGCGGUAAUACGUAGGUCCCGAGCGUUGUCCGGAUUUAUUGGGCGUAAAGGGAGCGCAGGCGGUCAGGAAAGUCUGGAGUAAAAGGCUAUGGCUCAACCAUAGUGUGCUCUGGAAACUGUCUGACUUGAGUGCAGAAGGGGAGAGUGGAAUUCCAUGUGUAGCGGUGAAAUGCGUAGAUAUAUGGAGGAACACCAGUGGCGAAAGCGGCUCUCUGGUCUGUCACUGACGCUGAGGCUCGAAAGCGUGGGUAGCGAACAGGAUUAGAUACCCUGGUAGUCCACGCCGUAAACGAUGAGUGCUAGGUGUUAGGCCCUUUCCGGGGCUUAGUGCCGGAGCUAACGCAAUAAGCACUCCGCCUGGGGAGUACGACCGCAAGGUUGAAACUCAAAGGAAUUGACGGGGGCCCGCACAAGCG